ACUCCUACGGGAGGCAGCAGUGGGGGAAUAUUGCACAAAGUAGGGGGAAACCCUGAUGCAGCCAUGCCGCGUGAUGUAGCAAGAAUGGGCCUUCGGGUUGAUGAAAGCACUUUUCAGUAGGGAGGAAGGUAGUGUAGUUAACACCUGCACUAUUUGACGUUACCUACAGAAGAAGCACCGGCUAACUCCGUGCCAGCAGCCGCGGUAAUACGGAGGGUGCGAGCGUUAAUCGGAAUUACUGGGCGUAAAGCGCAUGCAGGCGGCCUGUUAAGUCAGAUGUGAAAGCCCGGGGCUUAACCUCGGAAUUGCAUUUUGAAACUGGCAGGCGUAGAGUCUUGUAGAGGGGGGUAGAAUUUCAGGUGUAGCGGUGAAAUGCGUAGAGAUCUGAAGGAAUACCAGUGGCGAAGGNGGCCCCCCUGG
rnacentral:rRNA from 1 species